GAUGAACGCUGGCGGCGUGCCUCAAACAUGCAAGUCGAGCGGGGCUAUGUAAUAUCGCAAGGUAGAACAUAGCCUAGCGGCGAACGGGUGAGUAACACGUGGGUAACCUGCCUGGAAGACAGGGAUAACGAUUCGAAAGGGUCGCUAAUACCUGAUAAUAUCCUUUCAUCGCAUGGUGAUAGGAAGAAAGGGGAAACCCGCUUUCAGAUGGGCCCGCGUCCCAUCAGCUAGUUGGUAAGGUAAAGGCUUACCAAGGCGACGACGGGUAGCCGGUCUGAGAGGAUGUACGGCCACACUGGGACUGAGAUACGGCCCAGACUCCUACGGGAGGCAGCAGUUGGGAAUCUUAGGCAAUGGACGAAAGUCUGACCUAGCGACGCCGCGUGAGGGAAGAAGGCCUUCGGGUUGUAAACCUCUGUCAUGGGGGAAGAAGUAAGUGACGGUACCCAAGAGGAAGCCCCUGCUAACUACGUGCCAGCCAGCCGCGGUAAAAGUACUCUAU
rnacentral:rRNA from 1 species